rnacentral:misc_RNA from 1 species
UUUGUUUAUUUUAUAUUGACUCGGACGCAUGAAUGCAGUGUAAAAAAGCCUCCGGGGCCGCCGCGAGGCGUAACCCCGAAGCAACAGCGUUAAUUCGCAAGGGGUUAGAGAUAGGGCCGUGAGGACCCGUAACUCGGUAAUGAUCCCUCCGCAGGUUCACCUACGGAGA